rnacentral:misc_RNA from 1 species
UUAACUAUUAAAAUAUAGUACUCAGACGACACUAACAUUCAGAGUUUAGGGGUCCUCUGGCGGGCACGCUAGACGCGAAUCUAGGCGCACGAGGCGCGGCCCGCCAAAGCAACAUUCUAUAAUGAUACACAAGGGUGGGAGAUCUACCCCGAAGGGCAUGAACUCUGUAAUGAUCCUUCCGCAGGUUCACCUACGGAAA